UCGAGCGGAUUAAAAAGCUUGCUUUUUAAGUUAGCGGCGGACGGGUGAGUAACACGUGGGCAACCUGCCUGUAAGACUGGGAUAACUUCGGGAAACCGGAGCUAAUACCGGAUAAUCCUUUUCUACUCAUGUAGAAAAGCUGAAAGACGGUUUACGCUGUCACUUACAGAUGGGCCCGCGGCGCAUUAGCUAGUUGGUGAGGUAACGGCUCACCAAGGCGACGAUGCGUAGCCGACCUGAGAGGGUGAUCGGCCACACUGGGACUGAGACACGGCCCAGACUCCUACGGGAGGCAGCAGUAGGGAAUCUUCCGCAAUGGACGAAAGUCUGACGGAGCAACGCCGCGUGAGUGAUGAAGGUUUUCGGAUCGUAAAACUCUGUUGUUAGGGAAGAACAAGUACGAGAGUAACUGCUCGUACCUUGACGGUACCUAACCAGAAAGCCACGGCUAACUACGUGCCAGCAG
rnacentral:rRNA from 2 species